GACGUAGGGGGCCAGCGUUGUUCGGAAUUACUGGGUGUAAAGGGUUCGUAGGCGGUUUGUCGCGUCUGCUGUGAAAUUUCGGGGCUCAACCCCGAACUUGCAGUGGGUACGGGCAGACUAGAGUGUGGUAGGGGAGACUGGAAUUCCUGGUGUAGCGGUGAAAUGCGCAGAUAUCAGGAGGAACACCGAUGGCGAAGGCAGGUCUCUGGGCCACUACUGACGCUGAGGCACGAAGGUCAGGGGGAGCAAACGGG
rnacentral:rRNA from 1 species